UCAUUCAUUGUCUACAAAGCUAUUUCUAUUACAAAAUAUACUUUAAAAUCUGAAGGAAAAAAAAACACCAAACCAAAAACAUUUACAACUAGACAAGUUAAUGUCCUUUAAUUUGUGUCAGUGACCAUGAGGUGUCAAAUUGCCAAAAGAUUCUUCAAGUGCUCUCUUUCUCCUAUUCUUUUUAUUUCUUUUUAUUUUUUUAUAAGAUUUAGGCAUUGAGGCACUCACACAUCUAUCUAUAUAUAGCUCUCACAUUGAUCAUUUCUUUCACUCACUAGCAAUUAAGCACUCUUUACUCACUCCUCCCAUAUCUUGAUUCUUCAAGCAUUCUAUUUUCCCAGUUUCUGUUCAAUUUUCAUUACCCUUUGCUAAAGCAAUGGCCACUGUUGAGGUUGCACCAACAGCAACGUUGCAAGAGAAUGAGGCAAAGACAAUUGAGGUGAUCAAGACUGAGGACAAAACCCCGGAAGAGCCUGUGGCUGCAGCACCAGCUGCUGUCCCUGAGUCUGAGGCUGCAACCACCGAAGAGCCAGAGUUAAACACACCAGUAGAAGCAGAAGCAGAGGCAGAGGCACCUGCUGCUCCUGAAGCUGAAGCUCCAGUUCCAGCUGAAGUUGAGACCAAGGAGGUGGCAGAGGAACACAAGGCUGCUGAGGGUGAGGCAGAGGAGCCAGCAGCAACAGAAACAGAGAAAACAGAGAAAAUAGAGGCAGAAGAAGAGCCCAAAGAGGUCACAGCAGCGGAGCCUGUUGCUGCUGUUGCAGAGGAAACCAAAGAAGAGACCACUGAAAGUGCUGAGACACCAGCAGCUCCUCCUGCAGAGGAAACUACCACAGAUGUUCCGGUCGAGAAGACUGAGGAGUAGAAGAUUUAUGACAUCAUCACCAUCAUCAUCAUCAUCAUCAUCAUCAUCAUCAUCAUCAUCAGAGAAGUUUGUUUGUGGGGGUGGCCCGGGUGGGGGUUAUUUUCUAGGUUGCAUGUCCAAUUUGGUCAGCUUCUUAGCUACAUUUAUAUUUUGGUUUUUAGUUGAUAAUGGAGUAAGGUUUUAAAUUAGUGGGGUUUGGCAUUUGGAAUCUACGCUUAUUUUAAGCUUUAUAUCAUAUGUGUUCAAGACGAUGGCAUGCAUGGUGUUAGAUUGAAGUAAGUGGAAUUGGUGUGAAGAAGAGAUGUGAUUUCUGUUAGUUUUGAAUAAUAUUUAUUUAUGCACUUAUAAUA